UGCAGUCGAACGAGAAAGGGUAGCAAUACCUGAGUAAAGUGGCGUACGGGUGAGUAACACGUGGAUCAUCUGCCCUUUGGUGGGGAAUAACUUCUGGAAACGGAAGAUAAUACCGCAUAAGUCCGAGAGGAGAACGCAGCAAUGCGCCGAAGGAGGAGUCCGCGGCUGAUUAGCUAGUUGGUAGGGUAAUGGCCUACCAAGGCGACGAUCGGUAGCCGGCCUGAGAGGGCACACGGCCACACUGGCACUGAGACACGGGCCAGACUCCUACGGGAGGCAGCAGUGGGGAAUCUUGCACAAUGGGGGAAACCCUGAUGCAGCGACGCCGCGUGAGUGAUGAAGCCCUUCGGGGUGUAAAGCUCUUUCGACGGGAACGAUAAUGACGGUACCCGGAGAAGAAGCUGCGGCUAACUACGUGCCAGCAGCCGCGGUAAUACGUAGGCAGCAAGCGUUGUUCGGAAUUACUGGGCGUAAAGAGUACGUAGGUGGUUUGCUAAGUCCGAUGUGAAAUCUCCUGGCUUAACUGGGAGGGUGCGUUAGAUACUGGCAGGCUUGAAUGUGGGAGAGGAGAGCGGAAUUCCUGGUGUAGCGGUGAAAUGCGUAGAUAUCAGGAGGAACGCCUGUGGUGUAGACGGCUCUCUGGACCAUUAUUGACACUGAGGUACGAAAGCGUGGGUAGCAAACAGGAUAGAUACCCUGGUAGUCCACGCCCUAAACGAUGCAUACUUGGUGUGGGCAGUUCAGUCUGUCCGUGCCGGAGCUAACGCGUUAAGUAUGCCGCUGGGGAGUACGGUCGCAAGCUGAAACUCAAAGGAAUUGACGGGGGCCCGCACAAGCGGUGGACAUGUGGUUUAUUCGACGCACGCGAAAACCUUACCUGGGCUCGAACGG
rnacentral:rRNA from 1 species